AAAAUCUGUCACCUCUAGAGUGGAAUAGUAUCAAGCUUGGCUACAAAUAGCCCUUCAUUUAUGUAGAAAACAUAUAAGAAAUAUUAAUACAAGAUUCUCUCUAGUUUUCAUUUCUUCCUUUUAUAUAAUUUCAUAACAAGUCCAUUGCCUUCUUCACUCCAUUGUUUUCUUUACCUCUUAUUAACUGUUAUUUAUAAGUUUAAAAGAAUAAAUUAGAAAAAAACCGACCCCUACCCCCUCCAUGUUUGGUCUUUAUCAUCUUUUUCUCGGCUUUUGCUUCAUCUUCUUCUCUAUUUUAAAUCUCUUCCCCUUAUUUCUUUUUUUUUCUCUUCUUUUUGGAUUUGUUUUGUUUUUAAUUUUAAAUUUGAUUUAUGUUGGGGUUUAAUUUGGUAGAAGAGACAGACAAAGAAAUAUAUACGUAUUGUGGUAGAAAACCAUCAAAACCACUGCAACAUCACACAUCAAUUCAACUAUUGAGUUGUUAUAAUUUUUUUUCUACUUCUUCUGUUGUGUGCUUUUUUAAGGUUCAAAUUCUUUAACUGUUUUAAAGAAAAUAACUUUAAAUUUGCAUUAAUCUUAUCGAAAAAUAGUGUUUAACCCGAAUUUUCUUGAUUCAAAUGGUGUUUCAUUGGAAUUCUAUUCUAUGCAAAAUUAUUGUAAUAAUUAAAAAUAUUACUAUGAUGAGUCUGUUAUAUGAAUUAUGUAUGUAUAUAUAUAUAUAUAUAUAUAUAUAUAUAUAUGUUUUACGUUUUGUAAGGUAUAGAGAGAGAGAGAGAGAGACGCAGUAGAGAACAAGCCGAUGCAGAUGAACUGGACAAGGUAAAAUAAUGAGUCAAAUUAUAGGCGAGGAGUUGGGGAAGACAGGUAUAAAUAAUAACCUUUUAAAAGUAAUUAUACUUUCUUCCAUUUUUUUAAUUACUUUACUCUCUCUCCCUAUUAAUAUACAUAACAUAGCUGACGUAUACAUAGCAUUCUGUAUAUAUGUGAAAUAUUUAUAAUAUAUUUAGGGAGUUGAGAUUUUUUGUUAUAUUAAAAACAUAAGUUGUGUAUUUGUGUAAUUUUUAAUAAAAAGAAAGGAAAAGGUACACGUAAAAUGAAGCUUCAUGUUGGCCCACAUAGAUAUGAGUGGAGUAAUUAGUAGAAAAAUUAUAGAAAGUAGCAUACUUAAUACUAUAAUUACAAGAAAUAACAAUACUUUUAUAAAAUAAAAGUUUACAGCAAGAGUAACAUUAUCUUACUCAUUAACUAGGCAAGUGCAUGUUUUACUCUCACUACUUUACAUUUUUUCUAUUUUAACUCCACUAUUUCACCUCCCCAAAUAUAGUCAUAUCUUUUACCCC
rnacentral:lncRNA from 1 species